UAUUAGUUUGGUUUUAUUUAUCUUUCUCUGUGUUUGGUUUAAUAUUUAGCCCAUGCAAUUUUGUUCGGUUAAUUAUUAUAUCAGCCUCGUAAAGAAUGUUUGGUUAUCUAACCAAACUCUGUUUUUGUUUUUCAGUAGGUUACGUCUUUUUUUCCGUUUUUUUUUUUGAUAAUUCAGGUAUCCGACUUCUCACUUAAUCCGACUAUCCCUCCGCGUCCAACCGGAACUGGUGAGAAAGGUCCUGGAAGCCAAACGGAAACAAUGUUAAAUCCGCUGUGGCCGGGGCUCGAACUCGUGAUGGCGGACACCUUAGCCGAAGUUCUUUUUUUUUUCCUUCUUCGACUCUUCUUCAACCUCACCGUCUCUUUAAACUUAGUCUGAAGUUUUUCUUUCAAACUCUUUACCUUCCUUAACGCUCAACGAGGUUCAACAUAUCCUACUAAAUUCCCUUAAUUGAUGUGAUUCUCAUUCAACCCAAUAACAUUUUCGACCUCUUCGUUUCUUUCCUUUUAUAUAUGAUUGGAGAGGAUUGCGAGUGGGUUGAAUCUUCACAAUCACUCUCAAUUAAUUGAUCCUUCGAAAAUGUCUUCCUCCGAUGUCGUUGCGCAAUCCGCCUUCGAUGUUCUCCGACUGGGUAGAUCUUCACAGUUCAUUGUUGCUCGCCUGCUCCGUUUUUGAACUCCAAAAACAUCAAGAAGCAUGGUGAAUUCAUGGGAGUUUUUUUAUAGCUCAUAUACAAGUCGAAACUCUUUCUCUCUCUCUCCAAAUAACAUGAUUAUGAUUGUUUAUAUGUAUUUUUAUAGCCGUAGCAUCAAGCUUUACUCUGGCUUGAAGCCUCAAUCCACAAGCUUUUUGACAAAUGGGCAUCAGAAUUUGAAUAUGAGUUAAAUCCAGAACAGGGAAAGCGAGUUGGUCACGGGUCAAGAUGAUGCCUACAGGUACACCUACAGAAACCGAGAGGAAGGCACUUGGCAAUAGCCUUCCCUAGUAUCGAGAGCGUGUGAUCUUCAAUGGACAAAACAUUGAUGAAGAGUUUAGCAACAAUAUACUAGCAACUAUGUUGUAUCUUGAUACUCUUGAUGACUCCAGGAGGAUUUAUAUGUACCUUAAUGGACCUGGCGGUGAUCUAACUCCAAGUUUAGCUAGCUAUGAUACAAUGAAGAGCUUGAAAAGUCCGGUUGGGACACAUUGUGUUGGGCUUGCCUAAAACCUUGCAGGUUUUCUUCUUGCUGCCGCUGAAAAGCAUCAAUGGUUUGCGAUGCCAUUGUUAAGGAUCGCUCUCCAGUCACCUGGAGGCCCGGCCCUUUGCAUUCGAACCAUGCACCUGUUACCAAUUAUUGCACAGCAGAACCAAUAGACUAUAUACAACUUUUGGCAAUUUUGAUGUCCUUAAAUUGUUAACCUAAUUUGGCGCCUAGAGCACCUGCUUCCCAGCUUUAGGUCAGGGCCGGCCCGGCUGCUGGUGCAGCUCGUGGUCAGCUGGUGCAGGCUGAUGAUGUUCAAAAUGAAGCAAAGGAGCUUUCAAGGAUAAGAGAUUACCUCUUCAACUAACUAGCCAAAAUACAGGACAGCCUGCGGAAAAGGAUUAGUUUUGUUGUCAUAAUAAUAAUUGACACUUCUGAGUGCAUAUGCUGAUUAUGAUGAAAUUAAUUAAACAAUGAUGAUGAUACAGAUUUUCAAAGAUUUGAGCAGAUUGAAAAGGUUCAACUCAGAAGAAGCUAUAGAGUAUGGACUUAUCAUUGUUAGACCACCGUGCAUCAAAGACGACGCUCCUCUCCAAGAUGAAUCCUCAGGUCUCGGUUAAUCUGCUUUAUUAACAUUCUGUAAUGUCAAAGUCUUACAAGCUUGGAGUUGUUGUUCUUUGUGCGAUUGUUACCAAAUAAAAUCAUCUAUGUAUAUAGAGUUAAUUAAUUAUCAUUGGACCUUGGAACUAGUUACGGGUUCAAAAGUUUUUUUUUUA